GAUGAACGCUGGCGGCGUGCCUAAUACAUGCAAGUCGAGCGAACAGACGAGGAGCUUGCUCCUUCCACGUUAGCGGCGGACGGGUGAGUAACACGUAGGUAACCUACCUAUAAGACUGGGAUAACUUCGGGAAACCGGAGCUAAUACCGGAUAAUAUUUCGAACCGCAUGGUUCGAUAGUGAAAGAUGGCUUUGCUAUCACUUAUAGAUGGACCUGCGCCGUAUUAGCUAGUUGGUAAGGUAACGGCUUACCAAGGCAACGAUACGUAGCCGACCUGAGAGGGUGAUCGGCCACACUGGAACUGAGGCACGGUCCAGACUCCUACGGGAGGCAGCAGUAGGGAAUCUUCCGCAAUGGGCGAAAGCCUGACGGAGCAACGCCGCGUGAGUGAUGAAGGACUUCGGAUCGUAAAACUCUGUUAUUAGGGAAGAACAAACGUGUAAGUAACUGUGCACGUCGUGACGGUACCGAAUCAGAAAGCCACGGCUAACUACGUG
rnacentral:rRNA from 1 species